AUGUUAGUAAUGACAAUGAGCCUUCCGGUGGGAGGCUCCCCACACUGCUGUUGUCCUCAAUAUAAUACAACAUAUGGUGAAAACCAAACAGAGCACUCUCUCUCUCUCAUCUCUGCCUUUCUCUCUCUCUCUCUCUCUCUGCCUUCCUCUCUCUCUCUCUCUCUCUCUCUCUCUCUCUCUCUCUCUCUCUCUCUCUCUGCCUUCCUCUUUCUCUCUCUCUCUCUCUCUGCCUUCCUCUCUCUCUCUUUCUCUCUCUCUCUCUCUCUCUCUCUCUCUCUCUCGCUCUGCCUUCCUCUCUCUCUCUCGCUCUCUCUCUGCCUUCAUCUCUCUCUCUCUCUCUGCCUUCCUCUCUAUCUCUCUCUCUCUCUGCCUUCCUCUCUCUCUCUCUCUGCCUUCCUCGCUCUCUCUCUGCCUUACUCUCUCUAUCUCUCUCUCUGCCCCUCUCUCUCUCUCUCUCUCUCUCUCCCUCUCUCUCUCUCUCUCUCUCUCUCUCUCUCCCUCUCUCUCUCUCUCUCUCUCUCUCUCUCUCUGCCUUCCUCUCUCUCUCUGCCUUCCUCUCUCUCUCUCUCUCUCUCUCUCUGCCUUACCCUCUCUCUCUCUCUCUCCUCCCUCUCUUUCUCUCUCCUCCCUCUCUCUCCUCCCUCUCUUUCUCUCUCCUCCCUCUCUCUCUCCCCCCUCUCUUUCUCUCUCCUCCCUCUCUUUCUUUCUCUCUCCUCCCUUUAUUUUUCUCUCCUCGCUCUCUCUCUCUCUCCUCCCUCUCUCUCUCUCCUCCCUCUAUUUCGAUCUCCUCCCUCUCUUUCUCUCUCCUCCCUCUCUCUCUCCUCCCUCUCUUUCUCUCUCUCUCAUCCCUCUCUUUCUCUCUGCCUUCCUCUCUCUCUCACUGCCUUCAUCUCGCUCUCUCUCUCUCUCUCUCACUCUCUGCCUCCCUCUCUUUCUCUCUCCUCCCUCUCUUUCUUUCUCUCUCCUCCCUUUCUUUUUCUCUCCUCCUCUCUCUCUCCUCCCUCUCUUUCUCUCUCCUCACUCUCUCUCUCUGCCUUCCUCUCUCUCUCUCUCUCCUCCCUCUCUUUCUCUCUCCUCCCUCUCUCUCUCCUCCCUCUCUUUCUCUCUCCUCCCUCUCUUUCUCUCUCCUCACUUUCUUUCUCUCUCCUCCCUCUCUCUCUCCUCACUCUCUUUCUAUCUUUCUCCUCCCUCUCUCUCUCCUCCCUCUCUUUCUCUCUCAUCGAUCUCUUUCUCUCUCUUCAUUCUGCAUUUUCCCUCCAUCUUUCUCUCUCCUUCUCCAUCAGUAUCUCUCACCUCUUUCUCUCUACCCUCCUUCCCUGCAUUUCUCACCUCUCUUCCUCUUCAUUCUGCAUUUCUCAUCCCUCUUCAUUCUGUCGUCCUCUGCUACCCCAUCCCUCACUCCUCUUUUCUAAGCUAACUACCCCCCUCCAUCUGUCCUCCUCUGCUGUCACUUUCAAAAGUCAUCCCUCCAUCCCACGAGAGAGGCGGAGACGGGGUGCGGGGGUGAGGGGGCAGUGGAAACCCCCCUGGUGUUAA
rnacentral:lncRNA from 1 species